AGCGCAUACGGUGGAUGCCUUGGCAGUCAGAGGCGAUGAAAGACGUGGUAGCCUGCGAAAAGCUUCGGGGAGUCGGCAAACAGACUUUGAUCCGGAGAUCUCUGAAUGGGGGAACCCACCUAGGAUAACCUAGGUAUCUUGUACUGAAUCCAUAGGUGCAAGAGGCGAACCAGGGGAACUGAAACAUCUAAGUACCCUGAGGAAAAGAAAUCAACCGAGAUUCCCUUAGUAGUGGCGAGCGAACGGGGAUUAGCCCUUAAGCUUCAUUGAUUUUAGCGGAACGCUCUGGAAAGUGCGGCCAUAGUGGGUGAUAGCCCCGUACGCGAAAGGAUCUUUGAAGUGAAAUCGAGUAGGACGGAGCACGAGAAACUUUGUCUGAACAUGGGGGGACCAUCCUCCAAGGCUAAAUACUACUGACUGACCGAUAGUGAACCAGUACCGUGAGGGAAAGGCGAAAAGAACCCCGGAGAGGGGAGUGAAAUAGAACCUGAAACCGUAUGCGUACAAGCAGUGGGAGCCUACUUGUUAGGUGACUGCGUACCUUUUGUAUAAUGGGUCAGCGACUUAUAUUCAGUGGCAAGCUUAACCGUAUAGGGUAGGCGUAGCGAAAGCGAGUCUUAAUAGGGCGUUUAGUCGCUGGGUAUAGACCCGAAACCGGGCGAUCUAUCCAUGAGCAGGUUGAAGGUUAGGUAACACUGACUGGAGGACCGAACCCACUCCCGUUGAAAAGGUAGGGGAUGACUUGUGGAUCGGAGUGAAAGGCUAAUCAAGCUCGGAGAUAGCUGGUUCUCCUCGAAAGCUAUUUAGGUAGCGCCUCAUGUAUCACUCUGGGGGGUAGAGCACUGUUUCGGCUAGGGGGUCAUCCCGACUUACCAAACCGAUGCAAACUCCGAAUACCCAGAAGUGCCGAGCAUGGGAGACACACGGCGGGUGCUAACGUCCGUCGUGAAAAGGGAAACAACCCAGACCGCCAGCUAAGGUCCCAAAGUUGUGGUUAAGUGGUAAACGAUGUGGGAAGGCUUAGACAGCUAGGAGGUUGGCUUAGAAGCAGCCACCCUUUAAAGAAAGCGUAAUAGCUCACUAGUCGAGUCGGCCUGCGCGGAAGAUGUAACGGGGCUCAAACCACACACCGAAGCUGCGGGUGUCACGUAAGUGACGCGGUAGAGGAGCGUUCUGUAAGCCUGUGAAGGUGAGUUGAGAAGCUUGCUGGAGGUAUCAGAAGUGCGAAUGCUGACAUGAGUAACGACAAUGGGUGUGAAAAACACCCACGCCGAAAGACCAAGGGUUCCUGCGCAACGUUAAUCGACGCAGGGUUAGUCGGUUCCUAAGGCGAGGCUGAAAAGCGUAGUCGAUGGGAAACAGGUUAAUAUUCCUGUACUUCUGGUUACUGCGAUGGAGGGACGGAGAAGGCUAGGCCAGCUUGGCGUUGGUUGUCCAAGUUUAAGGUGGUAGGCUGAAAUCUUAGGUAAAUCCGGGGUUUCAAGGCCGAGAGCUGAUGACGAGUCGUCUUUUAGAUGACGAAGUGGUUGAUGCCAUGCUUCCAAGAAAAGCUUCUAAGCUUCAGGUAACCAGGAACCGUACCCCAAACCGACACAGGUGGUCGGGUAGAGAAUACCAAGGCGCUUGAGAGAACUCGGGUGAAGGAACUAGGCAAAAUGGCACCGUAACUUCGGGAGAAGGUGCGCCGGCUAGGGUGAAGGAUUUACUCCGUAAGCUCUGGCUGGUCGAAGAUACCAGGCCGCUGCGACUGUUUAUUAAAAACACAGCACUCUGCAAACACGAAAGUGGACGUAUAGGGUGUGACGCCUGCCCGGUGCCGGAAGGUUAAUUGAUGGGGUUAGCGCAAGCGAAGCUCUUGAUCGAAGCCCCGGUAAACGGCGGCCGUAACUAUAACGGUCCUAAGGUAGCGAAAUUCCUUGUCGGGUAAGUUCCGACCUGCACGAAUGGCGUAACGAUGGCGGCGCUGUCUCCACCCGAGACUCAGUGAAAUUGAAAUCGCUGUGAAGAUGCAGUGUAUCCGCGGCUAGACGGAAAGACCCCGUGAACCUUUACUGUAGCUUUGCACUGGACUUUGAGCCUGCUUGUGUAGGAUAGGUGGGAGGCUUUGAAGCGUGGACGCCAGUUCGCGUGGAGCCAUCCUUGAAAUACCACCCUGGCAUGCUUGAGGUUCUAACUCUGGUCCGUAAUCCGGAUCGAGGACAGUGUAUGGUGGGCAGUUUGACUGGGGCGGUCUCCUCCUAAAGAGUAACGGAGGAGUACGAAGGUGCGCUCAGACCGGUCGGAAAUCGGUCGCAGAGUAUAAAGGCAAAAGCGCGCUUGACUGCGAGACAGACACGUCGAGCAGGUACGAAAGUAGGUCUUAGUGAUCCGGUGGUUCUGUAUGGAAGGGCCAUCGCUCAACGGAUAAAAGGUACUCCGGGGAUAACAGGCUGAUACCGCCCAAGAGUUCAUAUCGACGGCGGUGUUUGGCACCUCGAUGUCGGCUCAUCACAUCCUGGGGCUGAAGCCGGUCCCAAGGGUAUGGCUGUUCGCCAUUUAAAGUGGUACGCGAGCUGGGUUUAGAACGUCGUGAGACAGUUCGGUCCCUAUCUGCCGUGGACGUUUGAGAUUUGAGAGGGGCUGCUCCUAGUACGAGAGGACCGGAGUGGACGAACCUCUGGUGUUCCGGUUGUCACGCCAGUGGCAUUGCCGGGUAGCUAUGUUCGGAAAAGAUAACCGCUGAAAGCAUCUAAGCGGGAAACUUGCCUCAAGAUGAGAUCUCACUGGGAACUUGAUUCCCCUGAAGGGCCGUCGAAGACUACGACGUUGAUAGGCUGGGUGUGUAAGCGUUGU
rnacentral:rRNA from 3 species